GGACACAGAAGCUUCCAGUCUGAGGAAACAAGACCAGCUGAGGAUCCGGCGAGGACCUGCUGCGUUGUGACAGGCCCAGAGGAAUAAUGCAGGUGUCCGUGGAUGGAAACCUCUGAGAUCCUGAGUGAGAACAAGGCUUUUCUCCUUUCAAGAGGACGGCAAUUCCAGAGGCUCCGAGCUCUCAGAACGCCAACCGAGAGAACGCCGAGCUGCCACAAGAAGAACUGUCGGUGGGUGCCGUGGCUCUGAAGGACGAGUCGGGCUGAGAGUUAAGUCCCUAUGGGAGAAGACGCUCUUCGGUCUCUGACCCAGGCUGGAUGGUGACACAAUGGCUGUGUUUAAUAACCCUAAAAUAUGAAUAUACCACAAUCUACUAACCGUUUCCCAACUACGAAGUACUCAGUUUGAGUUUUCCCCUUCGUUGGUAUGGAAUUUAACACCAUUGACCGGUUGGGAGGCUAUAGCUUUGAUUGUCUCUUAAUCAACUCCUAAUUUAGGCUCCUGGGAGUAGGAACCUGAGUUGAAGGGAAGGAACUCUUCCAUGAUUUUUGAAAUAAAGUGAAAUAGUUUUUACAUUUUAGAAGAAGUAUGCUUGGAUGUCAGAUUUGGAGAACUGCCUGUCUUUGCCAGUGACGGGGACAGCCGUGAGCCAUUCCUGCCUACCCUGCUUCCCUCCUGAGGUGGCCCUGCCUGUGGCUGUCCAGAGCACACAGGAAACACAGAGGAACACAGCGGGGUGGCCAUGCUGCUUUUGUGUCAAAUGGGUGCAAUGUGGGGUUCUCACAGAGGAAAGGGAGGCUGGGCAAGCAGCCGGAACACCAAGAGGGACUAGUCUACCCACAGUCACACCGAGCAUCUCAUUAAGGUGAGUGUCCGUCUACAAGAGCCUGCUGAGAGCCCUUAGAAAUCCUCUCAGACCUUGGGUUUUAGAUUUUUUUAUUAGUGUUUUAAUUUUCCUCUCUCUUUUAUUUAUUUUUUUUCUUUUGGCUAUGAAUCCUAGCCUGGCCAAAACUCACUAUGUAUUCCAGGCUGGGUUUGAAUUCACGGCAAUUCUUCCUCAGACUCCUGAGUGCUAGGACCUCAAGAAUGUGCUGCCAUGCCAAGUAAAAUUGUAAUUUAUUAAUUAUUCAAUUCAUUGUCCCACUUCUGGUAUUAAGUUAAUGGUUCAUUCUUAAAAGUGUGUUUAUUUAAGGAUUCUUUCAGCAGAGCCAAGCCUGAGCUACAGAACACCUCCAGCCUGGCACUCACCCAGUCCUACAUUUGAUCCCAGCCCCACAAACCAAACAACGCAGGAAAAAGUGCAUUGGCACAAAUAACCACGCCUCCCAUAGGGAAGAGGUGGUAACCUGGUCUCUCACUACGAUCUACACACACUAGGACGGAAUAACCGUCACCACUCAGGCUCCGUCUGUUUCUCCUGCUCUCUCUCCAUCUGCCUGAGCUGAAGGUUUUAUUUCUUUGUCAUCUAACAAACUAAGUGCGAAACGUGCGUCUCUCUUGCACACAUUGCCAUCGAGAUGUCCUGUCCUCCGUCUUCCGGUCUCUGCAGGGAAGCCUCUCUCAGCCUCACCUCCUGCCCAGGUGACAAUUGGUCUCUAAACUCACCUGCUUGUGGCUUCCAACCAGGAUGAGGGCACCAGCUCCUUCUUCCCAACCAGGAUGAGGGCACCAGCUCCUGCUUCCCAACCAGGAUGAGGGCACCAGCUCCUGUUUCCCAAGCAGGGUGAGGGCACCAGCUCCUGCUUCCCUCCAGCUUCAGUUUAAGAACAAAUCUAGAAAACAGGGCAUAGUGGCUCAUAUGAGACAGGAGGGUUGUCCUGAGUUUAAGGCUAGCCUGGGCUACAGAUCAAGACUGCAGUGGUUUAAAUAAUAACCCCCAUAGCCACAUAUAUUUGAAUGCUCAGUCACCAGGAAGUGGCAUUACUUGGGAAGGGUUAGGAGGUGUGGCUUUGUGGGAGAAAGUGUGUCACUUGGGGUGGUCUUUGGCCAGGCCCAG